CCCCAAACCCUUAGAAAGAAGCCAGUCU
rnacentral:piRNA from 1 species